rnacentral:rRNA from 1 species
AUUGAACGCUGGCGGCAUGCUUUACACAUGCAAGUCGAACGGUAACAGGCCUUCGGGUGCUGACGAGUGGCGAACGGGUGAGUAAUGCAUCGGAACGUACCCAGAGGUGGGGGAUAACGCAGCGAAAGCUGUGCUAAUACCGCAUGUGAUCUGUGGAUGAAAGCGGGGGACCGAGCAGCAAUGCUUGGCCUCGCGCCUUUGGAGCGGCCGAUGUCGGAUUAGCUAGUUGGUGGGGUAAAGGCCUACCAAGGCGACGAUCCGUAGCUGGUCUGAGAGGACGACCAGCCACACUGGGACUGAGACACGGCCCAGACUCCUACGGGAGGCAGCAGUGGGGAAUUUUGGACAAUGGGCGCAAGCCUGAUCCAGCAAUGCCGCGUGCGGGAAGAAGGCCUUCGGGUUGUAAACCGCUUUUGGCAGGAACGAAACGGUGUCCGCUAAUACCGGGCGCUAAUGACGGUACCUUAAGAAUAAGCACCGGCUAACUACGUG